rnacentral:lncRNA from 1 species
AGUUCACUCUGGGCCCUGUGGAGCUGCGGCAGCGGAUGAAGUCGCAUCGUGCCUCCCAGGUGGUGAGGACAGACGCCCCGGCUGGCUUGAGGCAGAAGCAUGGCACACGGGGACAUAUUUGGAUGUAAAUAUUUUCAGCGGGGAGAGCAGCUGGGAGCUGGGGCCCCAUCGGGAGCGAGCAUCUCCCGCGGAAGCCUAGAGUCAGGGCCAGAUGGGUUCCUCCCAAGCUGCACCACCAUCCUCCGGAGGCUGUGAGGCAGGGUGGGGAGGCCAGGCUGUGCACGGGCUGUUGGGAGCCUGGUGAGCAGGCCUGGGUUCCAGCCUGUCCCUGGUUGGAUUCGCUCCCCUCCCUUUCCUAUUCCAGGCUGCACCUGCUACCCUGGCUGUGAGGACAAAGUGGGCAUACACGCAGGAGGGGCCUCGGCACCCCAGCUAGGGGGCGCACGCAUCCCUUGACACCAUCUUGUUCUCGUUCUCUUCUUCACAUCUCCAACCCUGGUAGGCCUGAGGUUAGGAGGAAACUGGUGGCCCAGUGUGGUAGCCAGAUGGCUCUCACAGGAGCAUGCCCUCAAGGUUCUUCCUGGCUAUGUGAGGCAUCUCAGAACUCCAGUCUCGUGUCCCCGUGAGGAUUGAAUGUCCUCCGGAAGACCUGGAGCACUGCUGAGGACCAAAUUGUGGACAGAUGGUACCUGCAUCCUUCGGUCAGGACGGGCACUGGGCUGUGUGGCCCAAUGGUGAGUGCUCCCUCGUGUUAUAGGACCCCAACUUCCUGCCCACGAUUGCAGAAAAUACAGUAAUAAAAUAAAAUGCACCUGCUCCUUCUCCCUCC